AUUGAACGCUGGCGGCAUGCCUUACACAUGCAAGUCGAACGGUAACGGGCCUUCGGGUGCCGACGAGUGGCGAACGGGUGAGUAAUGCAUAGGAACGUACCUUUCAGUGGGGGAUAACGUAGCGAAAGUUACGCUAAUACCGCAUAUUCUGUGAGCAGGAAAGCAGGGGAUCGCAAGACCUUGCGCUGAUUGAGCGGCCGAUGUCAGAUUAGCUAGUUGGUGAGGUAAAGGCUCACCAAGGCGACGAUCUGUAGCGGGUCUGAGAGGAUGAUCCGCCACACUGGGACUGAGACACGGCCCAGACUCCUACGGGAGGCAGCAGUGGGGAAUUUUGGACAAUGGGGGCAACCCUGAUCCAGCCAUGCCGCGUGAGUGAAGAAGGCCUUCGGGUUGUAAAGCUCUUUCGGCCGGGAAGAAAUCGCACAGGCUAAUACCUUGUGUGGAUGACGGUACCGGAAUAAGAAGCACCGGCUAACUACGUGCCAGCAGCCGCCGUAA
rnacentral:rRNA from 1 species